CUGCACCUUCGCUGGGCAGGGGCAUGAGCAGGGGCUCCCUGAGGGCACACCCCUGCUCUGCUCCACUCCCGCUCCCUCCGGGGCCGACAGGCUUUGCUAUGUCACUUUGAUUUGGAGGAAAUUGGAGUGAAAUAAAAGCCAGUAGCUAACUGCUCCCCAAAGUACUGAAAAACUGUAGUGUAAAGUAAGCAGAAAUGAUUCAGGGGAUUUCUCUGCAGAGGACUUUAAAGGACUGCUUGGAACAUCAUGAACAUGCAGUAGCUAUUCCCUGCUUUUCCUGUUGAGAAAUAGUAUUAUUGAAGAAAGUAAAACAAAUAAGAUUAGAGACAGAAGUUAGUGUUUGUUGCUGUGGUGUCUGAUGAGUGCCCUAUUGAUCUGUAAGAUAAAGGCUGAUGUAUGACAAAAUACCCCAUGGGCCAUGUGUUGCUAUUCAUGUGCAAGUAGAGUAACCAAUUAAAAAUCAUUUCCCCUGUGAGUGGUCAUCUGGUACUGCUGUAAUACUGAAUUUUCUGGAAGCAGCUAGGGUUAGGAAGGUAGAUGUUCAGGCCAGGACAAGAGGAGAUACCUACAUCCUGGCUAAAGUAUAGAAUUUGUACAUUUGACUUUGACAUUUACAACCCCUUUCUAAAAUAUGUGGGAGAGCUGUUCUUAGGAAAUGAGUUACUGAUGGCUGUGAAAGAGCCUUAACCUUGUGAUUAUGG